rnacentral:tRNA from 1 species
GCCGAGGUAGCUCAGUGGUAGAGCGAAGGACUGAAAAUCCUUGCGUCGAGAGUUCAAUUCUCUCCCUCGGCA